GGGUGAGUGUCAGCCAUCCAGACUGAGGUCACUUGCUGAAGUUCAGAUUGAAGGUCGAUGACUGGAGUCGAUAGCUGAGGAGGUGAUUGGAUGAGUGUGGGGAGCACAGGCACCCACAGAGAGGGGGCAUCCCAAAAUAUUUUGAUAUAGUCACUGGCGUGACAUAUGAUUAGAAGUAAAGAUCGAUCAAAGAUCCUUGGAGAAGAAGCUUGAACCGUGGUAUCCCUUGGAUCGAUAUCUGAAGUUCAAGAGCCAUCUUUGAAAAU
rnacentral:lncRNA from 1 species